AGCUCCAAUAGCGUAUAUUAAUGUUGUUGCAGUUAAAAAGCUCGUAGUUGGAUUUUGGAAUGGUGUGGCGCGUCCGCCGAAUGGUGUGUAUGUGUCGUGCUAUUCUUCCUGCUGGAGGUCUGGUCUGUACUUUACUGUGCGGGUCAGGAAUUCAGCACAUUUACUUUGAAAAAAUCAGAGUGUUCAAAGCAGGCAAUCGC
rnacentral:rRNA from 1 species